rnacentral:misc_RNA from 1 species
UCCCCGUUACCGGGGCAGUCUAGCCAGAAAAAUUCAACUGACUAUAAGGGUUGCGCUCGUUGAUGGACUUAACCAAACAUCUCACGACACGAGCUGACGACGGCCAUGCAUCAUCUGUCAUCGGGUUCCUAAAAGGCACAGUCUGCUUUCACAGACCUUCCCGAGAUGUCAAACCCUGGUAAGGUUCUACGCUUACCUUCGGAUUAAACAACACGCUCCACCGCUUGUGCGGGUCCCCGUCAAUUCCUUUAUGUUUUAAGCUUGCGCUCGUACUCCACAGGCGGGAUGCUUAACGCGUUAGCUUCGCAACUUGCAGGGUCGAUACUGCAAACUGCUAGCAUCCAUAGUUUACGGCGUGGACUA